GCACUAUGUAAGCGAAGGCGUGGAAGAUGAUGUGCCAGACUGCAGAGAGUACAGAGAUGCCUGCACCAUUACUGUGUGAACUGUCAAUUCUGAAGUCACUAUGAAAGCAACUGUUGGAAUUACAAGUCCAGUGUGAAAUUUUUAAAGAUGUGUGCAAUAGUACCAAUCUUCCUGAAGUUGAAAUCAUCAGUCUCCUGGAAGAGCA